UCUUGUUUUGCGAAACCACUCUCAUGCUGAGAGCCCUCGUCCUCAGUUAUAAAUACUCAAGGGAUACAUGGCCACUGCAUCCUCGCUAAUCGCUGGUUAGGGUUUUGGCUAGAUCAGCUUCCAUAUAAAAAGAAGAAUGGUGAAGGUUUCCGAGUCUUCUGAAUCCCAAGAUGAAGGGGGCGGUGAUGGUGCCCUUUCUACUAGUGAGCCUAAACUAGGGUUUUGUAACAUCGUAUUCAUGAUUUACUAGAGAAGUACUACCGUACGUAGCAGGAGGGACAUUCUGAAAACAAGAAAGCAAAAACAAGUCGGGGGCAGUGUUAAUAUUAAAAGAUUGGAAAUGCCCUAAAUGGCAUCGGCGUUUGCAUGAUCCGUAGGAGCCUGCUGACCCUUCGAAAUGAAACAAGACAGGUCCGGGUGGUUCAAAGUGAAGUCGAUGCACUGAUAACUUCUUCUCCGACGACUGAGCCUUGUUAGUUUCCUGUUGUGACUGCACGAAAGAAAGCUCAGGAAUGUGGUCCAAUAUAAUAGCUCCAGUGUAUUCCAAGACGUUGCCGUUUCAAUAUGAUUACACCAGGUUACACUACCAAUGGACUGAAACCCUUGCUUGCAUUUGAAGCUAUGCUCCGUGCUCCAAUGGC